rnacentral:rRNA from 1 species
UCUCCAGACUCCUACGGGAGGCAGCAGUGGGGAAUAUUGCACAAUGGGGGGAACCCUGAUGCAGCGACGCCGCGUGAGGGAAGAAGGUUUUUGGAUUGUAAACCUCUGUCCUUGGUAAAGAAGCAAGACGGUAGCCAAGGAGGAAGCCACGGCUAACUACGUGCCAGCAGCCGCGGUAAUACGUAGGGGGCAAGCGUUAUCCGGAUUUACUGGGUGUAAAGGGAGCGUAGACGGCCAGACAAGUCUGAAGUGAAAAUCCAGCGCUUAACGUUGGAAGUGCUUUGGAAACUGCCGGGCUGGAGUGCAGGAGGGGCAGGCGGAAUUCCUAGUGUAGCGGUGAAAUGCGUAGAUAUUAGGAGGAACACCAGUGGCGAAGGCGGCCUGCUGGACUGCAACUGACGUUGAGGCUCGAAGGCGUGGGGAGCAAACAGGAUUAGAUACCCCGGUAC